rnacentral:rRNA from 1 species
GACGAACGCUGGCGGCGUGCUUAACACAUGCAAGUCGAACGGAAAGGCCCUGCUUUUGUGGGGUGCUCGAGUGGCGAACGGGUGAGUAACACGUGAGUAACCUGCCCUUGACUUUGGGAUAACUUCAGGAAACUGGGGCUAAUACCGGAUAGGAGCUCCUGCUGCAUGGUGGGGGUUGGAAAGUUUCGGCGGUUGGGGAUGGACUCGCGGCUUAUCAGCUUGUUGGUGGGGUAGUGGCUUACCAAGGCUUUGACGGGUAGCCGGCCUGAGAGGGUGACCGGCCACAUUGGGACUGAGAUACGGCCCAGACGCCUACGGGAGGCAGAAGUGGGGAAUAUUGCACAAUGGGCGGAAGCCUGAUGCAGCAACGCCGCGUGCGGGAUGACGGCCUUCGGGUUGUAAACCGCUUUCGCCUGAGACGAAGCGUGAGUGACGGUAAUGGGUAAAGAAGCACCGGCUAACUACGUG